rnacentral:lncRNA from 1 species
AUGUGUAACCUGAAUUUCACCACAUUGCACCAAUGUCUGGAUGUGAAAAGAACAGGAUAUUACUUAUGUAGUAAUCUGGUUCAAUUUUCAUUCCAAUUCCAAAGAAAGGCUAUGCAAAAAGAAUGCACAAACUACCGCACAAUUGCACUCAUCUCACAUGCUAGUAAAGCAAUGGUCAAAAUUCUCCAAGCCAGGCUUCAGCAAUACAUGAACCGUGAACUCCCUGAUGUUCAAGCUAGUUUUAGAAAAGGCAGAAGAACCAGAGAUCAAAUUGCCAAAAUCCACUGGAUCAUGGAAAAAGCAAGAGUGUUCCAGAAAAACAUCUAUUUCUGCUUUAUUGACUAUGCCAAAGCCUUUGACUGUGUGGAUCACAAUAAACUGUGGAAAAUUCUGAAAGAGAUGGGAAUACCAGACCACCUGACCUGCCUCUUGAGAAAUCUAUAUGCAGGUCAGGAAGCAACAGUUAGAACUGAACAUGGAACAACAGACUGGUUCCAAAUAGGAAAAGGAGUACGUCAAGGCUAUAUAUUGUCACCUUGCUUGUUUAACUUAUAUGCAGAGUACAUCAUGAGAAAUGCUGGACUGGAAGAAGCACAAGCUGGAAUCAAGAUUGCUGGGAGAAAUAUCAAUAACCUCAGAUAUGCAGAUGACACCACACUUAUGGCAGAAAGUGAAGAGGAACUAAAAAGCCUCUUGAGGAAAGUGAAAGAGAAGAGUGAAAAAGUUGGCUUAAAGCUCAACAUUCAGAAAACGAAGAUCAUGGCAUCUGGUCCCAUCACUUCAUGGGAAAUGGAUGGGGAAACAGUGGAAACAGUGGCUGACUUUAUUUUUGGGGGCUCCAAAAUCACUGCAGAUGGUGACUGCAGCCAUGAAAUUAAAAGACACUUACUCCUUGGAAGAAAAGUUAUGACCAACCUAGAUAGUAUAUUCAAAAGCAGAGACAUUACUUUGCCGACUAAGGUCCGUCUAGUCAAGGCUAUGGUUUUUCCAGUGGUCAUGUAUGGAUGUGAGAGUUGGACUGUGAAGAAGGCUGAGAGCCAAAGAAUUGAUGCUUUUGAACUGUGGUGUUGGAGAAAACUCUUGAGAGUCCCUUGGACUGCAAGGAGAUCCAACCAGUCCAUUCUGAAGGAGAUCAGCCCUGGGAUUUCUAUGGAAGGAAUGAUGCUAAAGCUGAAACUCCAGUACUUUGGCCACCUCAUGUGA